UUAUAGCUGUUUUUCAUGUGGUAGUGAUUGCAGCUUAUGUGAAUUGUUCUACAGCCACUUGCCAACAUGAAGUCACGUGUCCGUGCGGAACGACGGGACUGAACAUUACUUUUUGCUCAAAACAAAUGUCAGAAAGUAACGACACCUGUCAACAAUGGGCUGGCUGCAAAAGGUGUCACCCAGAAGUCGAUCACUGUAUAGAAUGUCCUGACGGAUACACAGGUCCCACAUGUCAAGAGGCCAACGUUGACCUUCUUGUCCGUCUCAAGAGGGAUUUCAAGUUUUCCAGGUCUGGGUCAAUUUCAAGAAAAAGGGUCACACUUUCUUCUGCAGGUUCUGAAAACUGUCCCAGCCUCAAGAAUACGGGGCUGAUUGCUCUGCGAUGCACAGACGAUGGAAGUGUGAGG